rnacentral:rRNA from 1 species
GACGAACGCUGGCGGCGUGCUCAACACAUGCAAGUCGAACGAAGAGCGAUGGAAGCUUGCUUCUAUCCAUCUUAGUGGCGAACGGGUGAGUAACGCGUAAUCAACCUGCCCUUCAGAGGGGGACAACAGUUGGAAACGACUGCUAAUACCGCAUACGAUCUAAUCUCGGCAUCGAGGAUCGAUGAAAGGUGGCCCCUACAUGUAAGCUAUCACUGAAGGCGGGGAGUGCGUCUGAUUAGCUAGGUGGUGGGGUACCGGCCCACCCAGGCCAUGAUCCGUAGCCGGUCUGAGAUGAUGGACGGCCGCAUUGGGACUGAGACACGGCCCAGGCUCCUACGGGAGGCAGCAGUGGGGGAGCUUCCGCGAUGGACGAAAGUCUGACGGAGCAACGCCGCGUGAGUGAUGACGGCCUUCGGGUUGUAAAGCUCUGUUAAUCGGGACGAAAGGCCUUCUUGCGAAUAGUGAGAAGGAUUGACGGUACCGGAAUAGAAAGCCACGGCUAACUACGUG